rnacentral:lncRNA from 1 species
UCUCUUGAUGGGGAUUUAGGCUACAGCACUGGGAAAAUAAUCCUGGGACUGGAUUUCAGGGCCCUGGCCACCUCAGCUCUUCAGGAAUGAAAAGCAUAAUGUUUUCCAUGGUGAUGCUGUGUCUCUACCUCCUCCCUCUGAACCUUGUGAGAGCCACGAACUAGGCUGGACUUUGGUGUCUGCCCUUCAGAUGAUUGGUGCCAUAAGAGGGCCACAAGCGGCACUAUUUCCAAGACAUGGAAACAACCUAAAUGUUCAUUGACAGAUGAGUGGAUGAAGAAGAUGUGGUACAUAUACACAAUGGAAUACUACUCAGCCAUAAAAAAGAACAAAAUAAGGCCAUUUGUAGCAACAUAGAUGGAACUGGAGAGUCUUAUACCAAAUGAAGCUUUUUAAUGUCAGCUCCAAAACUCGAAGCGUACAUAUCAGGAGCUUGGAAGAAAAGCCUGGAGAAAGAGUGGAGCACUCUUUUUAAUACCUGAUGCAGAUUACAUCUUCUGAUGCCCCCCAAGGUGCUAUUACAGAGGACAACAUGGACAUCAACACCUCUGAUUCAGAAAAAUUGAUCUCUGAAUGCUAUUAUGAAUAAUUGUGCCAUGUACAUGGGUGUUUGGAUAUCUUUGAGACCACACUUUCAGUUCUUUUGGGUAUAUGCCCAGAAGUAGAAUUGUUGGAUCAUAUGGCCAUUAAAAUAAAAACUAUUCAAGAAGUCAGCUGCUGCUAUAAAGGUCAUCUGGAAAGUCCAGGGAAGGACCCUGAGCUGCUGCUGGGAAAGAGAAAUUGUCCUCUGGCUCGUGAGCUGUCAUGUUUGUCUGCUGAGUGGCUUCAGUGGUUUCAUCUGUUGCUGAAAGAGCCAAGAGAGAGGGAUAAAACGGGACUAUAAUCCAUACCACAAUGAGCGGGACGGGACCAGCAGCCCAGAAGAAGCAAAAGGAAUCUUAAUGAAUUGGAGACAAUUGGAGAUGGUUUAUAAGGAUGAAGUUCAAAGGUUUUUCUUUAGAAGCCAUUGAGUUGGUAGUCUAGGAGAGCACCUUGUAGUGGUAUUUGCAUAAGGAGAAAGAUGUCAAAUAUUCAAAGAUGCCUUUACUCAAAGAGCCAGUGGCACUUAAGUGGCCAAAUAGCUUACAAGCACUUAUUAAGAUGAAUGGAUAAAGAAGAUGUGGUAUAGAUACACAAUAGAAUAUUACUCAGCCAUUAAAAGGGAAUAAACUAUUGCCAUCUGCAACAACAUGGAUUGAACCGGAGGGUAUUAUGAUAAGUGAAGUAAGUCAAAGACAAAUAUUGUAUGUUUUCACCUAUAUGUGUAAUCAAGAAAAAUAAAUGAACAAAUAUAGCAAAACAGAAAUAGACUCAUAGAUAGAACAUACUAGUGGUUUUCAAUAUUAAAAAAAUAUUGAAUCACUAUAUUGUAUAUGUGAAACUAAUAUGAUAUUGUAAGUUAAAUAGACUUCAAUUUUUAAAAAAAGUAAUUUUAAAAAACAAUAGAGGAGUUUCCACUGUGUGACUUCCAUGGCUCUGGUCACUGUGGAGGUGCAGGUUUGAUCCCCAGCCCAGUGCAGUGGGUUAAAGGAUUUGGCAUUGCCACUGCUGCAACUCGGAUUUAGUCCUUGGCCCAGGAACUUCCAUAGGCCGUGGGUGCAGCCAUUGGAAAAAAAAAAAA